AAUAAACGCUGGCGGCGUGCCUAACACAUGCAAGUCGGACGAGAAAGCUUGGGGAAACUUGGGCGAGUAAAGUGGCGCACGGGUGAGUAACGCGUAGGCAACCUACCCUUGUAUUCGGGAUAACAGGACGAAAGUUCUGCUAAUACCGGAUGAGAUCCCGAGGCGGGAGCUGAGGGAUGAAAGCGUGCCUCUCGGAGAAGCACGCGUACGGGGAUGGGCCUGCGUCCUAUCAGCUGGUUGGUGGGGUAACGGCCCACCAAGGCGACGACGGGUAGCUGGUCUGAGAGGAUGAUCAGCCACACUGGCACUGGAACACGGGCCAGACUCCUACGGGAGGCAGCAGUGAGGAAUUUUGCGCAAUGGCCGCAAGGCUGACGCAGCAACGCCGCGUGGGUGAUGAAGGCCUUCGGGUCGUAAAGCCCUGUCGGGUGGGAAGAAAGGGCCGACGAGGACAAGUCGUGGGUUUUGACGGUACCACCAGAGGAAGCACCGGCUAACUCCGUG
rnacentral:rRNA from 1 species